ACCUGAGCUUCUUCAUUGAAGUCUGGAUUUGUUGCAGCCAGCUGGUGGAACUUGGUGUUCCUCUUGCAGUUUGCUACCAGUACCGAUUGUAGCUUUCGUCACAUGCAGAAACACUUCAUGUCCACUCCCCCUCAAUUAUUCAAAAUGGUGGCCAUCUGACAUGUUGAUUCCUGUAGAGGUGUGAUUGUGAUGAACAAUUCUCAUUCUCAGCUUUUUGAGAGAAGCUUAUCAGGUUAUUGCAUGUUGCUCUUUUGACCAACUUGAAAAAUAUCUUAAGAAUGGAUGUAAAGCCAGUUUUCUGUAUGUUAGAAACUCGAGGAAUGAUAAAUAGUGCUUUUCUUCGUGCGGGGGACGAAAUUCCGCCAUUUCCCAUUUGUUUCCGAGACACUGACUGAUAAUGUAUUACGAACUUCCGGCGUCCUUUUACCUUUUCAGUCAUGUUAAUCAAAAGGUAUAGCCUAUAGCAUCAACUUGGCCAAAUAAUCCGAUAACGUGGGCUAAAACUACUGUACAUGCUUUCGAACUGUUACCUGUACGUCUCAUCCCAUGUAGCAAAUGUCUUUUAUAUAUAUUUAGGAAGGAGAUCCCUCUGUUUAACUGAUGGAGGAUUUGAGAACAUGCAGAAUGUGAACUACACUUUCAUGCUCAUGGUUUUGUUGCAGUCAGCUGGUGAAAGGUGUGGUAAAGUCAAGUUGAGCUGCGGCACAAAUAAAUCAAAAUUGAGUUGUCACUACAAUUUGAACUUGUAGUAAGCCCAUUUACAUAUGGGCCUCUACACAUUCCUCUUCGUGUAACCAAAUCGCAAUCAUGGCAGGUACAAUUGCCGCACGGCUCGAGUUGAAAGGUGAAUCACGAGAAGGCAAAACUUAUUGAGCGAGAGAAAUGUCGAUAGAAGGCAGUCAAAUGAGCAUCUCCGACAUGACAACUUCCAGUUCGCAAUUAUUGGCAAAUAUUCUUUCUUUUUGUAUUUAGUUAUGUAUCAAUCCCAUUUGUCUCUUUUUUGUUAGUAUGCCAGUUAUUAUUGAUUAUUAAUGUGGAAAUUAAUUGCUCGGUUAACCAUAGCGUCGUGCUGCUGUUGGGUGUUGUAUCGUUGAUGACUGGGUCGACCACUGGUGCACCGAUCUUCUUGGUAUGGCGGAUACCAAACCGCAACGCCGCCGGCUUACUACCCAAAAGCAACUCACGCUACGACCAGUUACUGCGCCGAGACCCUUAAGUACUACACCACUAAGGUACUGGUGUAUUAUACCACAACUUAACUGCCCCCAGCUACUACACUGACGCCCCGAAGUAUUACUCUGCCCCGAGCUACACCAACAAUGUACUGGGGUACUACACGAAUACGUAUGCUGCCCCAACCUACUACACCGAGGCUCCCAAGUACUACUCUGUCCUCAGCUACUUAUUACACCGAUGGCUAAAGUAGUACUACUCUGUUCCCAGCUACUACAACUAGGCUCCGGCUGAUUUCUAAACCAAAACGGUUGCAAACUACACCAAAGUGCUCAAGAACUACUCUGUCCCGAUCUACACAGCCACUACUUGCGGCAACAGGCGGUCAAGUAUUGCGCAGCCCUACACAGAAGCUGCCUUUUCGUACUACGAAGAAAUACUACACUGAUGCUCCAGUUUGCUACACGCAACCUAUGCUACACCAAGGUACAACACCGAAGCUCCCAAGUACUACAUCAAAGAAAUCGCACAUUACACAAGUCAAUCACGUCCACCGCCCCAGUUUACUUCACCGAGGAACCCAAGUAUUACUCUGCUCCAAGCUACUACCAAACUGAGCUCAGAAGUACUACACCAGCAAGGUUCCUGAGUGUUACACCACUACUUACGCUGCUACGACCUACACACCGAAGUUCCAUAGUAUUCCUAUGCCCCGAGUUACUACACUACUAGAGCACCAACAAAUUACAACACAAUCUUUCUUCUUCGUUUACUGUUCUGAUGGUUGCUGUCCAAUGAGGUUUGAUAUUGCAGCAUAUGCUGGUGAAACAUUUAUGUGCAUCAAAUUUAAUUUUAGCUGUGACUUGGUUCUGGUAUUGUGUUUUGAAAGUUGCAAUUUGUAUUUGGUUCAAUUGGCAUUUUGUAUAUUUUAUUCGGAUGUUAAGAUUUUAGAAGAAAGAAAAACAAACAUGGGGAAUUUGAUGCCAUACAAAAAAUAAACAAAUCUUUGCAAUUAGGAAAGGAAGGAGGAGGAAAUUGGGGUAGUGAAGUAAUCAUUUGAAUAUAUCAAAUGAAAUUAUAUUAUUUAAUUUAUUGUGAAAUUUUCAUAUUGUUGAGUAGUAAUGUAAUAAAUAUGAAAAAUAUAAUUGUUCCGUCACAAUAA